GAACAACUCUGAGGGACUCAUGUUUUGCUUGUAUUAGAAUGAGUUCAUUACAUAAACCCCUUAGGCAACAAGACCCUCACCCAGGAGAGCACCUGGAGACUCCAGACCAUGGAGCCUCUCCUGGUUUUGACUCAGGCUACCUGACAAGUGUGUUUGAGUUACAAAUUGUUUAAUUUUUUAGAUCCCUUACGGAAAAAGAAGGAUUUUAAUAACCAUUCAUUUAAAAUGCACAUGGACAUUUUAUAACUGACAUUUCUUGCCGUUUCUGCGCUGUGACCUCGUGAGUAACUGCCUCUGAAGAACCUCACGAUCCUCAUUCUACCCUUGCUCCUCAGGCUCCAAAGGGCAAAGCCGGAAAUCUGUGGAUAUAAAACACGGAAACAUUCCGUCUCUGAAAGAAAAGGCUAUAAACCAAAGACAGGAACGGGGACAGAACGUCACGCUACUACCUGGUGGCAUUUUGUUUGUUUUUCAUACCUUGCCACGGAUGGAACGUCUAAGCCCAAUCCAAUGAUUUGUCUCCUCAGAGAAGCCCUAUGAGAUUCCUUUCCUUACAAUCCCGACUUUCCCUUUUCAGGUCCUCAUAAACAAAGCAGGCACCACCAACACUCACAUUAAGCAAUAGUCUAAGGAAACAAAGCCAUGGGAGCACGGAAUGACAGCACAGGAGGCAGUGUCCGGUCUCCACGCCCCGCGGAGCAGGCCCACGUCACCCCCAGGAAGAAGGGCCCGGUCUCCACGCCCCGCGGAGCAGGCCCAUGUCACCCCCAGGACACGGUGACAGCCCAGGCGGAGCAGGGAGGGCCCCAGAUCAGAACAGGAUGAGGACAGUUCUAAAAACUGUGAAUUGUAAAAACCGCUCUCUUCCUAGAAGGAUGACAGUCUUAAGGCUGCAUUCUUCAUGAUACAAAGCAUUUGAA
rnacentral:lncRNA from 1 species